UACAGAGGGUGCAAGCGUUGCUCGGAUUUACUGGGCGUAAAGCGUACGCAGACGGUGAGAAAGGUCGGAUGUGAAAGCCCCGGGCUCAACCUGGGAACCGCGCUUGAGACUGGCAUGCUCGAGUUCGGGAGAGGAUGGUGGAAUUCCCAGUGUAGAGGUGAAAUUCGUAGAUAUUGGGAAGAACACCGAUGGCGAAGGCAGCCAUCUGGACCGACACUGACGCUGAGGCGCGAAAGCGUGGGGAGCAAACAGG
rnacentral:rRNA from 1 species